rnacentral:rRNA from 1 species
UACGGAGGGUGCGAGCGUUGUCCGGAAUCAUUGGGCGUAAAGGGCGCGUAGGUGGCCCGGUCAGUUCGUGGUGAAAGCGCGGGGCUCAACCCUGCGUCGGCCAUGAAUACUGCCGCGGCUGGAGCACUGUAGAGGCAGGCGGAAUUCCGGGUGUAGCGGUGAAAUGCGUAGAUAUCGGAAGGAACACCUGUGGCGAAAGCGGCUCACUGGACCAUAACUGACGCUGAGGCACGAAAGCUAGGGGAGCAAACAGG